rnacentral:rRNA from 1 species
GAUGAACGCUGGCGGCGUGCCUAAUACAUGCAAGUCGAGCGAACGGACGAGAAGCUUGCUUCUCUGAUGUUAGCGGCGGACGGGUGAGUAACACGUGGAUAACCUACCUAUAAGACUGGGAUAACUUCGGGAAACCGGAGCUAAUACCGGAUGAUAUUUUGAACCGCAUGGUUCAACAGUGAAAGACGGUCUUGCUGUCACUUAUAGAUGGAUCGGCGCUGCAUUAGCUAGUUGGUAAGGUAACGGCUUACCAAGGCAACGAUGCAUAGCCGACCUGAGAGGGGGAUCGGCCACACUGGAACUGAGACACGGCCCAGACUCCUACGGGAGGCAGCGGUAGGGAAUCUUCCGCAAUGGGCGAAAGCCUGACGGAGCAACGCCGCGUGAGUGAUGAAGGUCUUCGGAUCGUAAAACUCUGUUAUUAGGGAAGAACAUAUGUGUAAGUAACUGUGCACAUCUUGACGGUACCUAAUCAGAAAGCCACGGCUAACUACGUG